CCUACGGGCGGCUGCAGUGUGGAAUAUUGGGCAAUGGGCGCAAGCCUGACCCAGCAACGCCGCGUGAAGGAAGAAGGCUUUCGGGUUGUAAACUUCUUUUCUUAGGGACGAAGAACGUGACGGUCCCUCAGGAAUAAGCCACGGCUACCUACGUGCCAGCAGCCGCGGUAAUACGUAGGUGGCAAGCGUUAUCCGGAUUUAUUGGGUGUAAAGGGCGUGUAGGCGGUAAAGCAAGUCAGAUGUGAAAACUCAGGGCUCAACCCUGAGCCUGCAUUUGAAACUGUUUUUCUUGAGUGCUGGAGAGGCAAUCGGAAUUCCGGGUGGAGCGGUGAAAUGCGUAGAUAUACGGAGGAAAACCAGUGGCGAAGGCGGAUUGCUGGACAGUAACUGACGCUGAGGCGCGAAAGCGUGGGGAGCAAACAGGAUUAGAUACCCUUGUAGUC
rnacentral:rRNA from 1 species